rnacentral:rRNA from 1 species
UGCAGUCGAGCGAACUGAUUAGAAGCUUGCUUCUAUGACGUUAGCGGCGGACGGGUGAGUAACACGUGGGCAACCUGCCUGUAAGACUGGGAUAACUUCGGGAAACCGAAGCUAAUACCGGAUAGGAUCUUCUCCUUCAUGGGAGAUGAUUGAAAGAUGGUUUCGGCUAUCACUUACAGAUGGGCCCGCGGUGCAUUAGCUAGUUGGUGAGGUAACGGCUCACCAAGGCAACGAUGCAUAGCCGACCUGAGAGGGUGAUCGGCCACACUGGGACUGAGACACGGCCCAGACUCCUACGGGAGGCAGCAGUAGGGAAUCUUCCGCAAUGGACGAAAGUCUGACGGAGCAACGCCGCGUGAGUGAUGAAGGCUUUCGGGUCGUAAAACUCUGUUGUUAGGGAAGAACAAGUACAAGAGUAACUGCUCGUACCUUGACGGUACCUAACCAGAAAGCCACGGCUAACUACGUGCCAGCAGCCGCGGUAAUACGUAGGUGGCAAGCGUUAUCCGGAAUUAUUGGGCGUAAAGCGCGCGCAGGCGGUUUCUUAAGUCUGAUGUGAAAGCCCACGGCUCAACCGUGGAGGGUCAUUGGAAACUGGGGAACUUGAGUGCAGAAGAGAAAAGCGGAAUUCCACGUGUAGCGGUGAAAUGCGUAGAGAUGUGGAGGAACACCAGUGGCGAAGGCGGCUUUUUGGUCUGUAACUGACGCUGAAGCGCGAAAGCGUGGGGAGCAAACACGAUUAGAUAC